rnacentral:rRNA from 1 species
UAUCGUGAAACCGCGAACGGCUCAUUAUAACAGCUAUAAUUUACUUGAUCUUGACAAUCCUUACUUGGAUAACUGUGGUAAUUCUAGAGCUAAUACAUGCACCAAAGCUCUGACCUUACGGAAAGAGUGCAUUUAUUAGAACAAAACCAAGCGGCCUUCACUGGUCGUAAUUUGUUGACUCAGAAUAACUAAGCUGAUCGCAUGGUCUUGUACCGGCGACGUGUCUUUCAAGUAUCUGCCUUAUCAACUUUCGAUGGUAGUGUAUCUGACUACCAUGGUUGUGACGGGUAACGGAGGAUAAGGGUUUGACUCCGGAGAAGGGGCCUGAGAAAUGGCCACUACGUCUAAGGAUGGCAGCAGGCGCGCAAAUUACCCACUCUCAGAAUGAGGAGGUAGUGACGAAAAAUAACGAGAUCGUUCUCUACGAGGCCGAUCAUCGGAAUGGGUACAAUCUAAACCCUUUAACGAGUAUCUAUGAGAGGGCAAGUCUGGUGCCAGCAGCCGCGGUAAUUCCAGCUCUCAAAAUGCAUAGAAUUAUUGCUGCGGUUAAAAAGCUCGUAGUUGGAUCUGUGCUAGGGAUUUGGUCGACCUUUUGGGUUCGUACUGAGUUCCCUGGCUUUUUCUGCUGGUUUUCCCAUGAUGGCUUUAAACGGCCGUGAUGGGUGGCUGGUGAUUUUACUUUGAACAAAUCAGAGUGCUUCAAACAGGCGUUUCGCUUGAAUGUUCGUGCAUGGAAUAAUAGAAGAGGAUUUCGGUUCUAUUUUAUUGGUUUUAUAGACUGAAAUAAUGGUAAC